rnacentral:misc_RNA from 1 species
AACGCAACUUGCGCUCUCUGGUAUUCCGGAGAGCAUGCCUGUUUGAGUGUCAUGAAAUCUCAACCAUUAGGGUUUCUUAAUGGCUUGGAUUUGGGUGUUGCCAGUCUCUGGCUCGCCUUAAAGGAGUUAGCGAGUUUAACAAUGUCCUCUGGCGUAAUAAGUUUCGCUGGAAAGGCUUGUGAAGUUUGCUUCUAAUCGUCUUCGGACAAUUACUUUGACUCUGGCCUCAAAUCAGGUAGGACUACCCGCUGAACUUAA